UCAUACCUCAUCCAUUAGCUGCUUUUCAUGGGUUGGUUUUCUGGAACAGUACAAUCUCAACAUUAAAGUUCAUCUCCACAAGAAAGUGCUUUUGAUGGAAGAUAUUCGGUUGGAAAGGGGAAAACUUUCAAGACCAUAUAAAUAUAUAUUAUUCUGAAGAGUGAUAUCAUAAUAAAUUACCCUCAUUA